rnacentral:antisense_RNA from 1 species
CUCGUCGAAAGUCUUCCAUUCUUCAAACUAGAUUAUUUAAAAAUGAAAAAGGAAGAAAGGAAAGCGAGGUCAUCUCAUUGCUCUAUCCGCCAAUCAGGAGGCUGAAUGUCAGUUUUGAACUAAAAGCCGCUCCGCUCCUCUUCUAGAUUUGGAAAACAAGCGAAAUUAAACUAAACCGCUGCACGCCUCUGAUGCGACAUCUGGACACUGCGUGGCGCUGGCGCUGCCGGAGCUGCGGGCCCGGCCUGGCGCCGGACUAGUCUCCCUUUUGAUGAGAAGAGUAAGUCUCAUUCUGAUUCAACAGCAGAGAUCAAAGAAAAGACUUCUGUUUUCUGGCCACCAGAUAUAUGUUAUCUGUGCUUAAAGAACUGAAAAACACACAUCAAAGGAGAAUUCUCUUGGAAAGAGAGGGUUCAAGCAUUAUUGUUAGGUGUGCUGGAAUCCUUUCCCGAGUCAGUACUGCUUUCUAGAACAGAACCAGGGAGAUCUAUUUGGAAUGUAUCUAACUCCAAAGAAACCAUCAGAGGUAAUAGUGGAGACGGGGUUUCACCAUGUUGGCCAGACUGGUCUUGAACUCCAGACCUCAUGAUUCGCCUGCCUCCGCCUCCCAAAGUGCUGGGAUUACAUGUGUGAGACACCACACUCAGCGGAUAGAGAGAAUUUUGACAGGUGAUGGAGGCUUUUUAUUUUGCCACAGAACCACUGGUGACGUUGCCUGUGGCCACCUUGGAGAUGACACUGGAGGAUGAUUACGGAGUUAGGAAUUUCCUACGAAGCUGGGUGAUAAAAGCACAUUGGAGAAAAACACAGAUAGCUUCAUUCUAUACCAGGAUCCAUUAUAUUUGUCUCUACUGUAAUUUGAGGAGAAUGAUAUCUGCUUCUCUAUCUUGUUGGGUUUUACAGAUGACGUAUUGAAAGUUCAAUAAAAUCUAUAAACAAU